CGGGGUAAUUUGCAGGCACCCCUUUAGACGGGCCACGUCCAAGCUCUGC
rnacentral:ncRNA from 1 species